rnacentral:rRNA from 1 species
AGUGAACGCUGGCGGUAGGCCUAACACAUGCAAGUCGAACGGCAGCACAGUAAGAGCUUGCUCUUACGGGUGGCGAGUGGCGGACGGGUGAGGAAUACAUCGGAAUCUACUUUUUCGUGGGGGAUAACGUAGGGAAACUUACGCUAAUACCGCAUACGACCUACGGGUGAAAGCAGGGGAUCUUCGGACCUUGCGCGAUUGAAUGAGCCGAUGUCGGAUUAGCUAGUUGGCGGGGUAAGGCCCACCAAGGCGACGAUCCGUAGCUGGUCUGAGAGGAUGAUCAGCCACACUGGAACUGAGACACGGUCCAGACUCCUACGGGAGGCAGCAGUGGGGAAUAUUGGACAAUGGGCGCAAGCCUGAUCCAGCCAUACCGCGUGGGUGAAGAAGGCCUUCGGGUUGUAAAGCCCUUUUGUUGGGAAAGAAAUCCAGCCGGCUAAUACCUGGUUGGGAUGACGGUACCCAAAGAAUAAGCACCGGCUAACUUCGUG